AAAUGUUGCUUCUCUCCUGUCAUGCCACCUAGGAUCCAGGUCAAAACGUCGAAGGUUGUGAGCAUGACACACGUGUCACCGUCGACCAAAACACAUCACUUCAUUUAAUCCGAAAUUGUGACGGGCUUAUCUUUAGAAUUGGUCUGUGCGUUUUGUUUAAUAAGCCCGGUCCGUUAUAAGGCGUAAUAUGAUAUGUUCGAAACGGGGCGUUUCUGAUUUUAUAGUUUCAUCUUUCUCUUCUCCCCGUCUCUAUCUUCUCCCCAGUAGCGAUUCUAGGGUUUCGACUUAGAUUUCUUAAGUAACCGGCGGAAGCUCUGACUAUAAUUCCCCAAUCUCCCAGCGAUGAACAAACCCAACUUCAACCAAUCGAGAAGAAGACUUAUAUAGAAAUCAAAAAGGUGCGAGCGAGGGGCUGUUGCUUGAUGGCGGUAGAUAUCGAGAGAAGCGUAAUAAGGUUGUUGCAGGCAGUCAAAGCAUGAAGGAUUUCUCCAUCCAGGAAUAAGCUCAUCAAGAGAAUAGAGCUCAUCUAUGUACAAGAAAGUGAAGAAAAAGCUAAGAAUAUCAAGAACAUAAUUACCAGACAUGGUUAUGACAACGAUCAUGAUGUGUACCAAGAUGCCGACAAAUAACCAGAACUGCACGGUGAUCUAGGUCAACCUUAGUCAUCCAAGAGAAGCUAAUGUUCCGGGGACGAGAGGAGAUCGUUCCACCAGGGAUAAAAGUUUGUCCGGUUAUGUCUUCAGAUUAUAGCAAACCCGUGAAACUGGGCCAGUAAGAGAACCCUUUUAUGGACAAGAGGCUGCGUCAUAUAUGACAGAUAUUUCAGGGAUGAGAGAAGAAAGCUGAAGACAUCAAGGAUCGUCUCCGUUAUAUUGCAAUUGGCUAGGGAGAGGUUAUGGAGAGACGUCGUUUCUUUAAGCGUUUCACGGAUUGUUCAUGAGAUACGCCUCUUGACGUGGGCUCAUGCCAUAGAAUAGAUUUUUGAGAUCAUAGUCGAAGAGAUUGUCAUCUAAAUACAGCGUCUACAAACGAGUAAGACCGGUGAAACCAAGAAUCGCACCAAAAAUCUGAUUCUCAAAGAGCUCGAGAACAGUCCAAUCCGUGAGGGUGUGAAGAUCGGGAGGAGUUCCACGAAUUCCUUCUGUUUUAGGCCGAAUUGGCGUAACCCGGUUGCUUCCAUCGCAUUCAACAGUUUCCCAUUUACAAGGUCAGGAUUAGACCAGUCGAUGUCUUUUGGCAGGUUCAGACUUGAUUUGAGAGUUUGCAUAGUCGGAUUAUCAACACCGUUCUGCUAAAAACGAAACCCAUAAAUGAAAGGAAGAAACAAAAGAUACCCAGAUGAGAUUUUGUAAUUUUCUUGGGGAUUUUUUCGACAAAAAUGAUAGGGGAAUUCGAGCUUGAAGCAGCCGCAAUUUUAUAAGAAGAAAGGUUUUUUACAGGAAACAAUGACGUUAAGAAAAGUGGAAUUGGCCGAAGUGGUGCACGAUAAAGAGAGAAUUGGAUUAGAAAAUAACAUUGUAUGGAGCUGCGAAAAAUAUUUUAGAUCAAUGGUAAACGAAGAUUUUACUCAUACAAUUUUAUAUUAAAAAUUCAUAGGAACUAUGGUUUCUGCCAAUUAAUAAAAAAAAGAAAUUUUAAGAUACAAGUUAU